rnacentral:tRNA from 2 species
GCCGACGUAACUCAGUUGGUAGAGUAACUCCAUGGUAAGGAGUAAGUCGCCGGUUCAAAUCCGGCCGUCGGCU